rnacentral:siRNA from 1 species
UCACACGCAAGAGAUUAAGGUUG